rnacentral:lncRNA from 1 species
AACUCUGCUUCGGGGCAAGGCUCCACCGACCUAAAGGAUCAAUCUAAACCAUACAAUCUAUGUCGGUUUGAUCCAAUGGCCCACGUUCACUUGAGGGGACUAUAAAACCAGACCCCCUGGCCCCUGGAGGAGAGAGGAGAAAUCAUUAUUCAGAGGUAGCCAUCAAAGUUAGGGUUUAGAGCUUCUCUCCCACAGAGAAUUAGAAUUAGCUACUCCCUAAUCCUUCAAGUUUAGAGGUUUGAUUAGAUAGCAAUUAGAGAAGUAGAGCACUACGCUCUGGAUUCGGAUCUUCGGUAAUAAAGAUUGGUAUUAUUCAUAUCUUUCUCUAAUUCUAUUGUUCUAAUUGCAUUAUGUCUCUAAUUAUUAUGUUCUUAGUUUGCUCUAGUUCUAUAUUUGAUAUAGUUCUAAUUGAUAAUGAGUUUAUGUAUAAGUUUGCAAAGCGCUUAGCUCUUGACGCGAGGGAGUUAGGUGAUAGAUCACAUGUGAGCGUGGUGCUUAGAUGUUAUUUAUCUGCAAAUGUAUCCUAUUGGCCGAGUCGUGUGGUAGUUCGCGAUAGUGACAGCUUCGUUGAUUCUUAUAUAGUCCACCCUCCGUUGAUAGGACAGGCAGAACCGGUAUUGUGGAGUAAGUCAUGCGAUGUUCUGAUUUACUUUAUCAAUGUUCCUUAUACAUGAAUGAAGAGUCUUUUAUGCUAUAUAUGAUCUUGUAGAUAACUAGAGUAGAUUAUGACUUAGUAGUUAGUAGAUGACUUAGAAUCCAUUCUCUAGCUAAUCCGACAUCACCUACAUAUAUGAGGAGUAGUCUAUUUUCUAAUCGCUGUGCUCUUUAUCCCAUGAACUUAUACUUUAUUAUCAUUAUCUUUAUGGUUUACCCCCUGCUAAAGUUUGUGACUGUGUGACGAGUUUCUCAUUAGUAAUCAUGUUCUUGCAAGUUUAUCUUUAGUCUAUGCCUUGAUAGAUUUUGCCCCCUUUUAUUUAAUUCCAUCUUCCUUAGAUCCCCUAAGCAAAAUUAUAAAUAACGAUACCUGGAAUACUUAUCCUGGUGAAAUGCUACAAUGAGGUGUUUUAUCUGUGCGCUUGCGGAUAGAAUAGAUUAUUUUCUAGAGAGCCUUUACAUUUAUAAAUACCUUUGUACACUCUGGCGCCAUGCUAGGGAUGACAACCUAGUAUCUAAGUGGUGUUAGCUAGUGUCAACAAGCAUUUCUGGCGCCGUUGCCGGGGAAUCUAUAGGACUUAUAGAACUUAUGGAACUUAUAGGAAUUAUACGAGUCUCAGGAAUAAGUCAUAAAUAGGAACGGUAAGGGAAGCCAGAAAAUCAAUCAAGGUUAUUCAUAUAAAAUAUUAGACUAGACUAGAGAAAUAAUUGCAUAAAACAGCUACUAAGUGAGAAAUCAUAACAAGGCACCGCUGCUUUGGCAGGUUCACCGUGUUGUUUUUCUAUGUUUAUAUUUUUAUACAGGGUAUAACAGGAUUGACUUUGGGUACAUUCAACUCUUCAUCAUCAGAACCAAAGCAAUCUAGAGAAGAAGAAGCUAGCUACCAAUUGCUGAAGCUAUGGCACAAAAGACCUUGCAAGAAUUCUCUGCUCCAAGUCUUGACAACAUUCCAACCGGUCCAAGAUUUGCAGUAGAAGAAGGAAUACCUGAGUUUGAGCUCAAGUCAAGCCUCAUCAAUUUGGUACAAGCUACACAAUUCAGUGGAAAGGCACAUGAAGAUGCUAGUGCACACUUGCAGAAUUUCUUACAGAUUGGAAGCACAAUCCACAUCAAUGGAGUUGACAAAGACGUCAUACUGCUUCGCCUUUUUCCAUUCUCACUAGAAGGAAAAGCGAGGAAGUGGUUCUACACUCAUCAAGAUAACAUCAACAACUGGACGAACUUGUCAGAUGCCUUUCUAUCAAAGUUUUUCCCUAUAGGCAAAACAACUGCCUUAAGAGGAAAUAUUGUCAGUUUCCAACAGCAGAAGACAGAAGCCAUUUCAGAAGCAUGGGAGCAUUUUCAAGGAUACAUAUCAGAUUGUCCUCACCAUGGAAUGGCCACAUGGUUACUUAUGCAGACCUUCUACCAUGGAUUAACCCAGAAGGCUCGUGAGUGCCUAGAUGCAUCUGCUAAAGGAUCAUUCUUGGAGCUUACAACUGGAAAAGCAGAGAUACUUUUGGAUAAGAUAGCAGAAAAUCAAAGCUGGUUCCAAGAUAAAGCUCAACAAUGUCAUCAAACUGAAGAAAUACCAGAAGAAGUAAAUGCAUUAUCAAAGUGCUUGUUGGGUAUUCCCGCCUGUCACGCGGGUGACCCGAAUGAAUGAUGAAGUUAAACAAAGGCUAGAUACAAAUGAAUCAUCUCUAAAAGAUAUACACAAUAAAAUGGAUUUUCUACUAACUGCCUUCGAUGAGCAAAACACUCUUAAUAAAAGGGUAGAGCUGAAAUUAAUAAAGAUAGCUGCUGCACUGCCUGUUGCUACUAACAUUGAGCAGGUAAAGAAUAUAACUACUAGAGGAGGCAAAGCUACCAGAGAUCCACCAUACCCAAAAGAGAAACAAAGAACAUCAGCACCAGUGCAACCAGCAGUGAUAGAAGAAGAAAGCCCAGUUGAAGCAGAAGAUCUGCUACAACCACCAAGAACUGGAGAAAUGAGGAAAGAUUUUUACGACACCAACUAUUUGCCAUUUCCCAGAAGAAACAGAGGACUGCAGUCGGAUGAGCAGUUUGGUAAGUUUGUAGAGGUCAUUCAGAAAUUAUAUGUCAACAUACCUCUGCUCGAUGCCAUACAGGUACCUACAUAUGCAAAGUACAUCAGAGAUAUUCUUAACAAGAAGAGACCACUGCCCACCACUGAGGUUAUCAAGCUGACAGAAGAAUGUAGUGCGGCCAUCCUCAAUAAGCCACCAAAGAAGAAGGAAGAUCCAGGAUGCCCCACUAUUGAUUGCUCGAUCGGAAACCAACACUUCAACAAUGCACUUUGUGAUCUCGGAGCAAGUGUCAGUGUGAUGCCAGCAUCAGUCUACAAAAAGCUUGAGCAUGCAACUUUAGAACCAACAUCAAUGUGCCUACAACUAGCGGAUCAAUCGGUUCGACACCCGUUGGGCAUCGCCGAGAACAUUCAAGUCAAGAUCAGAGAUUUCCUGGUGCCAGUAGACUUCGUAGUACUGGACAUGAGUCCUGACUCGAAAGUAUCCAUCAUCCUUGGAAGGCCAUUUCUGAGCACUGCCAAUGCCCACAUCGAUGUCGGAAAAGGAGAAAUCAAGUUCAACAUAAACGGACAAGAAGAACACUUCACAUUCAAACCCAGACCACAGAGAGACUCUACAGUGAAGGAAGUUCAUGAAGAACCACUGGAGACACCAUCUCCAGAGGAAGGUAACUCAGAAGAUUAAAAGAUUUGGAGGUCCAGCUUGGGGGACCUAAAAAUCCCAAACCCUCAUCAGGAGGUAAAUCGGUAUUUAUCCGCAUUAUCAAUUUUCUCAUUCUUGCAUAAUUAAUUCUUGCAUUAGUCAUAGCAUUAUUAUAAUAAUCAAAAAGCCCCAUAUAAAUAAUAUUUGUGGUGUGUAACAACCCAUAUUUAUUAUUGUGGAGUUACAAAAAUAUUUUCCAUUAUCAUUUUCAUUAAGUUUCAAUUCUCAUAGAUUUUCCUGCAUUAUAUUGAUCUUCUAGAAGCAUGACCCACACUCUUUGGGUCCCACAUGUCAUACACUUCACCUCACAUACAUUCCAUCACAUAAUUUCAUCCACCAAUAUAUUUCCACUCACCUGACAUCUUUCCACCGUCCAACCACUACCAACACAAUAUUAUUCUGCGUGAGAUCAAAGCAAGGAAGCAAGUGGAGGAAGCACACCCAGGAUGGACACCAGGAGUGGGCGCCCACCCUGUCCCCUGCUCAGCUUAUAAAAGGCCACCUCCAGCUCCCCUUCUCUUCACACACACACUUCAGAAAACCACACAAGUCUCAGUUUCCCAAGGAGGAGCUUUUGUAGUGAAGAGAAGAGAGUAGAGAGAAAGAGGAGAGUGGAAGAGAAAGGUUGGGAGUUCUUUUGAGAGAGUGAUUGUCACCUAGCAAAUAGUGAUCCCGCUGUCCAAGCAGAAGUAAAAGUUGUUUAGGGGGGAGGCUCUACCAAAAUAGAAGCUUGUCUUGAACGGUUAACCCCUGGACUACUAACACUACGGACGGCUGACCACUAACAUUUUAUCUCACAUUUUCCACCAGUUGUGUUUUUGCCAACUUUUGUUUGCAGGAUGUUUAAGAAGGUGAAGAAUGCAGGGAAGGCUCUCAAGAACAUUGGUACAAGGAGUUCAUCCCGACACUCCUCACAGCCAUCAGAGAUGAGCGUCGACCCGACACCCACACAAGCUCCAUCAUCUUCAUCAGGUCAGCAAGUUAAGGUCCUUCUCAAGAUAGGAGACCUAGGACUGAAGACCCAAAGAGAGAAGGAAGUCUAUCAGCAACUGAAGAACAAAGAUUUCAUUCACACCCCUACUAUCGAUCCAAUCCUACUACGAGAAACAGGUAUGGACACUGAAUUUGACUUAAUUUUUCAAAUGAUGGGUUGGACAAAUUUUUGGAAUAUAACUGAGCUGGGUUCUCGUCUUCUCACCCUCGAAUUUCUUUGCACUUUACAAUACUAUGAGGGGGGAAUUGUUUUUCGGAUGUUUAAACAGGAAAUUAUGUUAUCUUGGAGAGAGCUGAGCGACCAUCUUGGUUUCUCUUCAAGAUGCAUCGUGAACAUUGACUCCGAUUUACCCAAUUUUGAGAGACACCAGUUUUGGAGAGAAAUAUCUAGAGAUAAUUUUUAUAGUCAAGCCCGAACCAGUGACAUGGAACACCCCACUCUUAGGAUGUUCCACAAAUGGCUUGGGUACAAUCUUUUCUAUCGUGACGAUAUUAGGAAAGUAAGAGUAGGAGAUUUACAACUUUUAUAUGCUGCUAUUAGUAAAGUACCUACUUCACCUGUUACACUAUUAGUUUCACAUUGGCUUAGUAUACCUAGUCUGCAGGGACCAGUAGGAUGUACUUCACUUAUCACUCGUCUAGCCACUAAUCUUCACUUACUAGAAAACUCAUCGUUGGACUUCAUAGAAGAAUUAAGAAUUUAUCAUGGCUAUGACACAUUUAGACAAGCUCGGAUGUUAAAGAAAGAGGGGAAUAUAAUGUAUAUGCUGUAUGAUGAUAAAGACAAGAUUCGGUUACCUAACCCGAACCUUGGCCUCUACGCUGUGCAAAACUUUUUGAUUGAGAUUGCAGCAACACCAGUAAACCAGAGAACUCCACAGCGAGUGGCAUCUGAAAGGAUAACCACCCACCGAGAACGCACUUGGUAUGGAGCUGACCCUGGACCAAAAGAAGCAGCGUACCUGCAUUAUUGCGAUUACAAUCCACGAGUCCUUCGAGACCCAUGGGCUCGACAUGCGCAACCACAAGAGCCAACAGAGGAGACAUGGCCGGAGAGCCAAGAUCACCAGUGGACAAACCCGCCUUUUCAUACGGGCAGGUACUCCACUGAUCCAUAUGGAGCUUCAGGAUCCAGACCUCCACCCCAAUUUGAUGCAGGACGAUACUCCGACGCCUCCUACGCCUUCACGAAUGACUAUUAUCAAGAGGCCGGUGCUUUCUUCACUCGUACCGACAACACCCUCCUCGACAUCCAGAACACGCAAGCAGAACAUGGAAGACUCCUGGAAGAGCAACAAAAAUGGAACCAGGACCAUGCCGCUGCAGUACAAGAACUGAGACAAGAUACAACAACAAUGAACGACAACAUCACAACCAUGAUGCGGUUCUGGAACAUCGGGUAAGACCGACGUCAACAUCCAGCUUGGGGGAGUUCCUCCAAAUUUAUCAAGUAAGUUUUUAUUUGCUCUUCUUAUUUAUUCUAUUCUGUCUUAGUAUUUAAUUUAUCUUAAAAGGAAAAACUUAGAAAACCAAAUAAAUAUUUUCUUGCUUUAAUUCACUACACUUUAUAAACAUGAAAACAAAAUAAAAAGAGUGUGUAGAUGAGUGUGCUUUAUUUCUCUGCUAAGUUUAAUCUCUAAAAAAAUAAAUAAAAAAAAAGACCAAAAAUAUGCAUGAUGGAAAUGAUGAACAGUUGCUCUGUUUGCUUACUUACAAGUACCUAGCUUUUAUAUUAGAAUUCUUCCGAGAAUUACUAAAACUGAAAUUACUAUCUUUGAAGCAUAAAACUAAAGUCUAGGUAAGAGAAAGGCAUGAUAUAAAGUUGAGCUACUGUUUAUCUUGUUCCUACUACACUAAGUUCUGGAGAUUUAUUUUGAAAACUUACAAAUCACAUGAUGAGUUCCUAGCAUAACAAACUACCUACCACAGCCAUACUUGCUAUAACAUCUUUUACUAUAUUUACAUUGAGUUUGAUCGAGCUGUGUUGACCCUUAGGAGCUUUUCAUGUGGUUAAAUUAAGAUAUUCACUUGCACACAUCUACCACAGCAUUCAUCAUCAUUCAUUAAAAUUGCUAAAAAUAUUUUCACUCACUGUCCCGAAUAUUGUUAUUCUCUCUCUAAAAAGAUUCAAUGCAGAAGAGGCAUGGGUUAUGCAAAAAUAUUCGAGGAAAUAAAAAGGGGCAAGUGCCCGGAACCUCAGAAAAGAAAGAAAAAGAGUGAGACGAGAGGUAAAAAUGGACAAGUGUCCGAAGUAGAAUUAGGGGUACAAAGAUGCUCACUUGAGCGGAAAAAAUGGACAAGUGUCCGACAGUAGAAUUAGGGGUAUCUACUACCCACCUGAAAAAAAAAGGAAAAGAAAAGAAAAAGAUAGCCCAUGUUCUCCCAAAGCAAAGAUCAAAGAAGAGGAGAGAUAGCAAUAUGAGGAGCAAUGAGAACUAAGUUUCAUUGUCACUUAUGCAUUUUCACCAUCACUAUCAUUUACUCCACCACACAUGCAAAUCUUGAUUUAAUUAUAUGCUGAGUUCCUUUGGAUCCGUGGCUCGAUUAGACAACAUAUGUAUGAGCUGUUUUUCACUCCUAUGAGCUCCACUUAAAUAUUCUAUUAGCUAUAGGUAAGUGAUAUCAUGGUAAGGAUCCACAAAUACCAUAUAUAGAGAGAAUUGAGAGAAUCAUUGCUGGGAACUCUGAGUUUUAUUUUAAAAACUUAUGAAAAACUCUAGAACAAAGGUGAAGUAUAGGCAGGAGAGAUAGUGCUUGACUUAACUAUUUUGUCUUUCGAUUACUUAAGAUUUAAGUGCAGGUACUACACUCCAUAACACUUCACUCUAAUCUGGAAGAAUUUUUAUGUAAAAGCAUGUGUGCCUGUCAGGAAAGAAAACAUCGAAGCAACUCCUGAUCCGUCUGAGUUUAGCUGUUUGCUCAGGGACGAGCAAAGGGUAAGCUUGGGGGAGUUUGUUGAUGGUCCUUAAGUACUAAAAUUAAUAAUCAAAUAAACAUGAAAAAGGAUCAAUAUGAAACAAACAUCUAGAAUUAGGGUUUUAUCUGACAGAAUUCCACAAGCUUUGGUGUUUAUCUAUUUCUGCAGGGGUUUAUCAGAAAAUAGGGAGAGAAGGCCCACAUGUCAUGUUUACAACGAGAUAAUUACGUGCCGCGCAAUUUUCCUCAAUCUAGAAGGAUCCAGAAGCCACGGGAACGAAUGGGACGCGAAUCGGGCUCGGGAGCUGGGCGGCCGCCCACCCCCCUUGGGCGCCCGCCCUGGCCAGGAAGCCAAUCAGAACUCUGCUUCGGGGCAAGGCUCCACCGACCUAAAGGAUCAAUCUAAACCAUACAAUCUAUGUCGGUUUGAUCCAAUGGCCCACGUUCACUUGAGGGGACUAUAAAACCAGACCCCCUGGCCCCUGGAGGAGAGAGGAGAAAUCAUUAUUCAGAGGUAGCCAUCAAAGUUAGGGUUUAGAGCUUCUCUCCCACAGAGAAUUAGAAUUAGCUACUCCCUAAUCCUUCAAGUUUAGAGGUUUGGUUAGAUAGCAAUUAGAGAAGUAGAGCACUACGCUCUGGAUUCGGAUCUUCGGUAAUAAAGAUUGGUAUUAUUCAUAUCUUUCUCUAAUUCUAUUUUUCUAAUUGCAUUAUGUCUCUAAUUAUUAUGUUCUUAGUUUGCUCUAGUUCUAUAUUUGAUAUAGUUCUAAUUGAUAAUGAGUUUAUGUAUAAGUUUGCAAAGCGCUUAGCUCUUGACGCGAGGGAGUUAGGUGAUAGAUCACAUGUGAGCGUGGUGCUUAGAUGUUAUUUAUCUGCAAAUGUAUCCUAUUGGCCGAGUCGUGUGGUAGUUCGCGAUAGUGACAGCUUCGUUGAUUCUUAUAUAGUCCACCCUCC